GGGCUAUUGGUCUAGGGGUAUGAUUUUCGCUUCGCAUCGCUUGGUCAAACCUCCUUUGGAGGUUCAACAGAUACGCUCUGUGAAAGGUCACCGGUUCAAAUCCGGUAUAGUCCA